GAGUAUGUAGCCUCCUGCAUAGUGUUUAAUUGUGCUCUGACGUGGUCUUUUUUGUCUACCCUGUUCUAUAAACAUCAUGAUUUUCUUCCAAAGUGAGUUCAACACUGUAGUUCCUCAGGGAUCAUUUCUUCUCGACACCUACAAGGACCUUGUCAACAAGAAUUGUCUACGUGGACAACGAGGGAAAAUUAUACUGAAAAUGAAGUUAGAAUUGCAGUCUUUCUAAAAUGUCCAGAAAGGAGCAGACUUCCCAUGCCCUCUAAUUCUCACCUCCUGUGUCGGAGGACCUGGUUUUCUGACAGUUCAGGGCUGAAGAUCAUGAAUGAGGAUCUGGACACCUGAAUUAUGUUUUACCUCGACUUUAAGAAGCUGUUGAAGGGGACAGAGAGGUGAUUCAGUGGGCAAAGGCACUCGAUGUCAAGCCUGACUCCCCGAGUUCGAUCCCUAGUACCCACCCAAUAGAAGGAGAGACUGAGCGUACACAAUGAAUAGGCAGUGAUAAAAGAAGAAGCUGUAAGAGGAAAGGUGUGUGCCAGGCUCUUUCUUCUGUAUGAUC